rnacentral:rRNA from 1 species
UACGGAGGGGACUAGCGUUGUUCGGAAUUACUGGGCGUAAAGCGCACGUAGGCGGAUUUGUAAGUCAGGGGUGAAAUCCCGGGGCUCAACCUCGGAACUGCCUUUGAUACUGCAAAUCUCGAGUCCGGAAGAGGUGAGUGGAAUUCCUAGUGUAGAGGUGAAAUGCGUAGAGAUGUGGAGGAACACCAGUGGCGAAGGCGACUCUUUGGCCUGUAACUGACGCUGAGGCGCGAAAGCGUGGGGAGCAAACAGG